AAUUGUUUAUAUCUGGCUGACACAUCACGGUGCUUUUAAAAGGUUUAGAGCAGAGAUAUUUUGAAGAUCUAUAGUGCACAGUUUAAAUAAAGUGCAUAGCGCAAGUGCAUUUGGGGUGUGCACUGAUGUACUGUGUGUGGCAAAUAGGGCUUAAUGACUGGAUUCAUCAUAAUUGAAAAAGACUUCUCAACUGCUUUGAUAAACAAGUAGCCUGUUAAACAUUUUAUCAAGUGGGUGGGGGUGGGGGGGGGGGGACUACAAAUAUUGAUGAAUUACAGCUUUUUAAAAGGACAUGUGACACAGAAUUCAUAACUCUCAGAUUUUGGCUAAUAGAGGUCAUGUAAUGAAAGACCUGUAGUAAUUUGUGCACUUUUGUCAACAGCCUCUAAGCUUACGGCAAUCAAAACAAGCAGCUAUGGAGACUGGCAAAAACAAAGUCCUCAUAUUUCCUACAGUGUGUACAUCACUGAGCAAACUUUCUCACACACACGGUUUAAUAGGAUGCAGACAAACUGCUGCUCAUGUAAGAAUGGAGGUGCAGAUUAAGUGUGAUGUCGUGUCAUAAUGACUCAUCUUUAAAGUGAUAAUUGUGUUCAUUUUCACGCAGUCGCGGUAACAGGAGCAGCUGCCCUUCAUUGUGAGGAGAGAGGCUGCAUGUGCAUGUCAAUCAGUCAUGAACCCAGCCUGAUAAAAUCACCAUCUCCAUUAGACACAGCUUCCUGCAUGUUCAUAAGUGUCAGUCGUAAAUGCAGUAACGGUAAAAAGUCUGAAUUUUAGAAAUACAGCUGUGUGUUCAGCCUGUAAAAACAGCAUCGUGAUGGCGCUUCAGAUGCACACAUCCACACAGCAUCCUGGAGAGUUCCACGUGUAUAUUCACGGCACCAGCUGUAACCACAUCAAAACAACACCCUGCUCCAGUACAGAGAGCAGACACCUCACACAUCUGGAUCCAAAAUCCGACAGACUCUCUUAAAAAAAUUCAAAGAGUCAAAGGUGAAGUGUCCGUCACCUUGUCUCCGUAUGGAGUGUACUGAAUGAACUCAGUGGUGCGUGCACGUCCGGAAGCAGGUACAAAGUGCUGAAGCUCCUGAAAAUAACGUAUGCCUGACUUGUCCCAAGUGUCUACCUGCAGGUCCACUGAUCUGGAUGAUUGCUGAACCAUCGCCUUCAUAUGAAUGGCCAGUAGUUUCACGAUCUGAUGUAACUUCAGUUUCACUCUGUCAGUUUACCGUUGUGUUGUUUCUGUCUUUGCUCAGAUUGACAUCACCCACUGAGAACUGCCAAGAAAUGCUGAGUAAAAUGUUUUUCAGAAAUGCACCUGCUGACUCGAUGAGCGAGAGGCUUAAUUACCAAUAAAGCACGUCAGCGACCACUGAUCCUGACGUGCAC